rnacentral:tmRNA from 1 species
GGGGGUGAACGGUUUCGACUUCGGAUGCCGUGAUGGGAGAAGCGAGCAGAGAACGCAGGUCAACUCUUAAAUGUUCCUGCAAAAAAACAAGCGCCAAUACACAGCGCAACGAUUUCGCCCUCGCCGCCUGAGCGAGCUCCGAAAUCCGUUGACCCGGGUUCGUCCUUGACCCGGUAAUCAACGUCAACUAGAGGACUUGGUGACGGCCCCGGUUACGGGGGCUCGAUCGACAACUCACAGUGACUGUCCCCGCUUAGCGACAAGUCUGCUAGAUCGCUAGGGGAGAGAAAAAGCACAGCAGGCUGCGCUCGGAGAAGUCCCUGAUUGUCGACGAAGGACGCGGGUUCGAUUCCCGCCACCUCCACAA